rnacentral:rRNA from 1 species
AUUGAACGCUGGCGGCAGGCUUAACACAUGCAAGUCGAACGAGAGGCGGACGGGUGAGUAAUGUCUGGGAAACUGCCUGAUGUAGGGGUAUAACUACUGGAAACGGUAGCUAAUACCGCAUACCAUCAGAUGUGCCCAGAGGGGAGUAGCUAGUAGGUGGGGUAAAGGCACACCGAGGCGACGAUGCCUAGCUGGUCUGAGAGGAUGACCAGCCACACUGGAACUGAGACACGGUCCAGACUCCUACGGGAGGCAGCAGUGGGGAAUAUUGGACGAUGGGGGCAAGCCUGAUGCAGCCAUGCCGCGUGUGUGAAGAAGGCCUUCGGGUUGUAAAGCACUUUUGGCGAGUAGGCGUUACCCGCAGAAGAAGCACCGGCUAACUCCGUGCCAGCAGCCGCGGUAAUUC